rnacentral:rRNA from 1 species
AGUGAACGCUGGCGGUAGGCCUAACACAUGCAAGUCGAACGGCAGCACAGUAAGAGCUUGCUCUUACGGGUGGCGAGUGGCGGACGGGUGAGGAAUACAUCGGAAUCUACUUUUUCGUGGGGGAUAACGUAGGGAAACUUACGCUAAUACCGCAUACGACCUACGGGUGAAAGCAGGGGAUCUUCGGACCUUGCGCGAUUGAAUGAGCCGAUGUCGGAUUAGCUAGUUGGCGGGGUAAAGGCCCACCAAGGCGACGAUCCGUAGCUGGUCUGAGAGGAUGAUCAGCCACACUGGAACUGAGACACGGUCCAGACUCCUACGGGAGGCAGCAGUGGGGAACAAUGGACAAUGGGCGCAAGCCUGAUCCAGCCAUACCGCGUGGGUGAAGAAGGCCUUCGGGUUGUAAAGCCCUUUUGUUGGGAAAGAAAAGCAGCAGGUUAAUACCCCGCUGUUCUGACGGUACCCAAAGAAUAAGCACCGGCUAACUUCGUG